UUUACUGUUUUGUUCCCACUCUUCAAACUGCCACCAAAGCUAUAUAUAGCUUUGGUGGCAGUUUGAAGAGUGGGAAGAAAACGGUAAA
rnacentral:pre_miRNA from 1 species